CACGUAGGGCGCAAGCGUUGUCCGGAAUUAUUGGGCGUAAAGAGCUCGUAGGCGGCCUGUCGCGUCGGAUGUGAAAGCCCGGGGCUUAACCCCGGGUCUGCAUUCGAUACGGGCAGGCUAGAGUGUGGUAGGGGAGAUCGGAAUUCCUGGUGUAGCGGUGGAAUGCGCAGAUAUCAGGAGGAACACCGGUGGCGAAGGCGGGUCUCUGGGCAGUAACUGACGCUGAGGAGCGAAAGCGUGGGGAGCGAACAGG
rnacentral:rRNA from 1 species